rnacentral:lncRNA from 1 species
AAAAUAUACUAACAGGAGACCCGACAAGAAUGCUGAUCCAAUGUCUCCAAACACAGUGGUGAAAUAUUUAAGAUAAGUGCCAAGUUAGCAGCCAACACUGAUCUAAUGUCAUAAGUGAACACACCACAAACACAAAGUAAAAAAAAUGUACACAUUAUUUACAAUGACUGUACUUACAACACACCCUCUACACAAGAUUGUGCUGCUGGUCCCAAGUCCCUUUCAGCUGUAAAUCACUUACCAUCCUCUACUUGUAGGCUGGGUGUGUAUUCACACCUCUAGAUGGCCGGGCGGGGGUUUGUUGUGGAGCCAGAGAGAGCAGCAGUCACUCUAAGUGAGGGAUGGAGGACUUGAAGCAAUUCAGUACAAAUUCUUAUUUACAAUGAUGCCAAACCCGGACAACGCUGGGCCAAUUGUGCGCCUCUCUAUGGGACUCCCAAUCACGGCCAGAUGUGAUGCAGCCUGGAUUCGAAUCAGACCCAGACAGCCCAGGAAAGUUGAGGGAGGGAGAGAGACUGUCUGGUUGCACACUGUUCCUGAAUGAAGAUGGGUGCUCUCCAGUGAAUUUAGACUUCCUUGUCAUAGAACAGACCUCAUAGAAUGGACCUCACAAAUUCACAACCAGACCUCACCAGUCAGGCCCCGCAAACCAGACUGAACAAAACUAUUACUGGACAUUACAAUCUAGACCUCAUUAUCUGGAUUUCACAAUCCUUACUUCUUCAUCUGGAUUUUGCAAUCCAGAUUUCACAGCUUGGUCUUUGUAAACCAAACCUCACAAUCCAUAACCUGGACCUCACAACCUGGACCUGCAGUGUUGAUGCUGUAACCCAGCCUCAACGCACCACUUCCUCAGGCAACAAAGCGGCAAACCUGCCCAGUCUCACCUGAGGACUGCCCAGUCUCAAACCUGCCCAGUCCUCCACGUCAUAUUUCAUUUUUUUUCACUUAUUGGCUUUUUGUUGCUUUUGUUUCUUGUUACGGUCAUUUACAUUUAUUUACAUUUUGGCCAGUUUGGCUUCCAGGCCAGUGUCCCCACCACACAACUCUGAUGCUUCCACAGCAUCAUACCAUGCCUCCAAAUGGCUACAGUAGUCACUAGUGUUACUUGAACUUUGUCUUCUGUUACAUGCUACUGGGUCCUUCCAUGUCCCUGUCCGCAACAAAUUGUGCUUCAUUCUAGUAGUUUGUAAAUAGGUUCUCUAGAGGAUCCUCUUAAAUAAUGUGGUACAUGAUAUAUAGACACACAAUGCCAAUAGUGUUGUGUCAUCUAUACAUCCAGUCAGGCAGGAAUAGUCCCAUAUCUGAGCUGUUGGUACUAAUACUGACACGGUAUAACUGUCUAGCUGUAACCCGUAAUGGCUUUCACAGAUCUAAUGGCAGAGCAACUCUAUGUUGCUGUGGAUUUCUAACAUUUCUAUUUUGUAACAACGGAAAGUUGUCACUGGUACAGCAUUGUUACCAAGUAUGUGGUUGGAGCAUAUCAUAUCAACUCUUAGGGCUACAUUGUAACAGUCUCUUCCGUAGAGGCACCUCUGUAAAGGCUUGGAAGCCAGUAAAGUUGCUUGCGACAUUUUCAUUUUAUUUUUGCAGAAAAACAUGGACUGUAAUAGGUUCACACAAAAAAAGGGCAUAUUUUCUGUCAUACUUGCUGCUGAUGACUUUGACAAACAAUCUCUGUAAAUUAUUGAAUAUAUAACGUCAAUUGUUUGUUUUAAAAGUCAAGAUUAUUUAACAUGGUUUAUAUUGGUACUUUUUUGCUUUUUGAACUGAAACAUGUCCAAUAUUUUUGUAUUCCUUAUUAAUGGGAAAUCUGCUUCUUACAUAUAAUCCUAUAUAUUCCUGUCCACCUCAUGGGUUUUUGCUCUUUUGUUGAACAUUUUGAAUGUUGUUAAGUGGAUUCUAGGUACUACCCAUGUUAAACAAGAACCCCACUCCUCCAAACACGCACCAGCACCAUCCCAAUGGGCCUGUUCCUGAGAGCGUUAUACUCCUGUUUCUCUGUAACACUAUAGGCUACAGCUGUGUUGCUCUGUAAUUCUGUAGGCUGCAAUUGUGUAUUUUUCUAACUGGAUUGGCUGCAGUUGGGUCUAUCUGUAAUCUAAUAGGUUGUGUUCCCUGCGGCCACCAAACUUCACCUGAAUGCUACUUACGUGCAUGGGCAUAUUCAGUACUGUGUAGUUCCGAAACACAAUGUAGAAAACAAAUUGUGCUCUAUUCCUCAUAAUGGGGAACAGCAAGACGAGAUGAAGCUCAAACCUCUCCACCAACCCUGUCUUCCACUGUAAAUAAUGUGUUGUAAGACAACAGAUGAUAGAAAUAAUAAAUGGAUGGGUUGGAACGACUGAAUAGGACGUCAAUGUGAACAACAUUUAUGAGUGAAUGUUAUAUAAGAACUAUCAACUGAACAAUUGAAGAAUUAAUUAAUUAAUAAACGGAUGAAUGGAUGUACAAAUUAGCGGAUGAGUAAAUAAACGCAUUAAAG